rnacentral:rRNA from 1 species
UACGGAGGGAGCUAGCGUUGUUCGGAAUUACUGGGCGUAAAGCGCACGUAGGCGGCUUUGUAAGUUAGAGGUGAAAGCCUGGGGCUCAACUCCAGAACUGCCUUUAAAAACUGCAUCGCUUGAAUCCAGGAGAGGUGAGUGGAAUUCCGAGUGUAGAGGUGAAAUUCGUAGAUAUUCGGAAGAACACCAGUGGCGAAGGCGGCUCACUGGACUGGUAUUGACGCUGAGGUGCGAAAGCGUGGGGAGCAAACAGG